rfam:Streptomyces thermoautotrophicus strain H1 H1_chromosome, whole genome shotgun sequence.
GGUGGUGUGUCCGAGCGGCCGAAGGAGCACGCCUCGAAAGCGUGUGAGGGCUUGCGCCCUCCGUGGGUUCAAAUCCCACCGCCACCG